CUACGAAGGGGGCUAGCGUUGUUCGGAAUUACUGGGCGUAAAGCGCGCGUAGGCGGACUGAUCAGUUGGGGGUGAAAUCCCAGGGCUUAACCCUGGAACUGCCUCCAAUACUGUCAGUCUUGAGUUCGGGAGAGGUGAGUGGAAUUCCUAGUGUAGAGGUGAAAUUCGUAGAUAUUAGGAAGAACACCAGUGGCGAAGGCGGCUCACUGGCCCGAUACUGACGCUGAGGCGCGAAAGCGUGGGGAGCAAACAGGAUUAGAAACCCUAGUAGUCC
rnacentral:rRNA from 1 species